UCCUAGUACGAGAGGACCGGAGUGGACGCAUCACUGGUGUUCGGGUUGUCAUGCCAAUGGCACUGCCCGGUAGCUAAAUGCGGAAGAGAUAAGUGCUGAAAGCAUCUAAGCACGAAACUUGCCCCGAGAUGAGUUCUCCCUGACUCCUUGAGGGUCCUGAAGGAACGUUGAAGACGACGACGUUGAUAGGCCGGGUGUGUAAGCGCAGCGAUGCGUUGAGCUAACCGGUACUAAUGAACCGUGAGGCUUAACCUUACAACGCCGAAG
rnacentral:rRNA from 1 species